UACGUAGGGUGCAAGCGUUGUCCGGAUUUAUUGGGCGUAAAGAGCGUGUAGGCGGCCAGGUAGGUCUGCUGUGAAAACUCGAGGCUCAACCUCGAGACGUCGGCGGAAACCAUCUGGCUAGAGUCCGGAAGAGGAGAGUGGAAUUCCUGGUGUAGCGGUGAAAUGCGCAGAUAUCAGGAGGAACACCAAUAGCGAAGGCAGCUCGCUGGGACGUGACUGACACUAAGGCGCGAAAGCGUGGGGAGCGAACAGG
rnacentral:rRNA from 1 species